rnacentral:rRNA from 1 species
CGCAUCUGUGCAUGCAGCAUAUCAAUAAGCGGAGGAAAAGAAACUAACAAGGAUUCCCUUAGUAACGGCGAGUGAAGCGGGAAGAGCUCAAAUUUGAAAUCUUCAAGGUUUUACCUUGACGAAUUGUAGUUUAAAGAAGUGUUUUCUGUUGAAGUUUUGGUAAAAGUUCUUUGGAAUAGGACAUCAUAGAGGGUGAGAAUCCCGUAUUUGACCACUUAUUUUCAGCUGUGUGAUACACUUUCAAAGAGUCGGAUUGUUUGGGAAUGCAGUCCAAAAUGGGUGGUAAAUUUCAUCUAAAGCUAAAUAUUGGCGAGAGACCGAUAGCGAACAAGUACCGUGAGGGAAAGAUGAAAAGAACUUUGAAAAGAGAGUUAAACAGUACGUGAAAUUGUCAAAAGGGAAGCGUUUGACACCAGUGUUGUUUUCUCGAAAAUCAAUUAAAAAGAGUUUGAUUUUGUUGUGUAUUGACCUUAACAGCUUGCAUUUCAAUUUUCUUGCUUUUUUUAAUGCACUUUUCGUUUAACAAGUCAACAUCAGUUUCUUUUGUUGUAAAAAGGUCAUUGGAAGGUGGCUUUCUUUUCGGAGAAAGUGUUUAUAGCCUUUGACUCCUGCAAUCGGAGAGACUGAGGUCUGCAGCGUAGAUCCUUCGGGGUUAGAUACAUUUGUGCUAAGUUAUAGCUUUUUAUAGACAACUUGUUGACUAUGAUUAGUCUUGGAGCUUACUCGCUUAUGCUAUUUUACCUACGCUUAGGAUGUUGAACUCUAUCACACACAG